rnacentral:rRNA from 1 species
CGUCAAAUCAUCAUUGCCCCUUAUGGUUCUGGGCUACACACGUGCUACAAUGGCCGGUACAGACGGACGCAAAGCCGCGAGGUGGAGCAAAUCCUAAAAAGCCGGUCUCAGUUCGGAUUGCAGGCUGCAAUUCGCCUGCAUGAAGUCGGAAUCGCUAGUAAUCGCAGGUCAGCAUACUGCGGUGAAUACGUCCCGGCCUU